rnacentral:lncRNA from 1 species
UUAUUCAAAUUAAAACAAGUGGAUCUAAGAAUGUACAUCUUAUAAGCAACUAUAGAAGAAUAUAUAACACACUUUCAAAUUUGCCGCCCCACCAAUGAGCAUCAUACAUUCGGGGCUUUACUACAUUCAUGUGUAGAUCUAUCCAAAACAUCAUACAGUACUCAAUUUAAUUCUUCUCUCUCAGAUUUCAAACCCUCCUCAUGUGUUUUCUUUUUACUUAAUAGCAAGGGAAGACAUUAUUGUUAUGCACCACCUUAGCCUAGUGUGAAUCGACUGUGAGAAGACCGAGCAAAGAGCAGGUGGACUGCAGGCAUAAGCGUGUUGUGCUGAGAAAGUUCACUAAGACAUGUCAGCUUGAUUUGAAUCACUUGCUAAAGUGCAGGCUCACUAAAGCCAAAAGAACCUACAUUUCCUCAAUAAAAGGGAUCCCAAAGCAUAAAUAAAAGAUUCCAUCUGUGAAGAGUGAUUUAUUAUCUCUCACUCAUGAGAGAGAUAGAUGUGAUUUUCCCUGUGGUAUCCACAGCGAUUGGUUCUAAACUAAAAAAGAACCCAACAAACAAACAAUCAAUCCUCUGUAAGGAAGGAAAGAAAAACUUUUAAACCUGGUCACAUGUGACUCUUGCCAAGACAAAUGUGAAAUACAGCCAAGUCGGCCUUAUCGCUAGCUAACUACAGGGCACCAUCUGGAGUAGCUCUUGGCAUGACACAGUCUCCUCACUGAGGAUCAAAGCCUUCUUUAACAACCAGAUGCCAGGCUAGAACUUCAACGGGUGAAGCUUUUCAUCUCACUUUCUCCACUUCCUGGAAAAAUUAUUGAUGGCUGGAUUCCAUUGAUCACCCUGUCAAUAAAGCUACAGUGGAGCCACAAGCAUGAAGGAGAAUAAAGAUCAUACAUUACCCACACUGGAUUUUUUGGAUUAUGUCAAGUCAGCAAAUGAUCUUCAGGCCAUUGACCUGGAUUCUUAUCUUAUGCAAUUACUAAAAGAUGACUUAGGAUUUCCCUACGGGUAGCUUAAAAUACACACUGUUCUAUCCAAAUCCCAAACCAUAUUUAGCAACCAAACCUGUCUUCUGUUAAUGUAGUUUGUCACAAAUUUGGGUUACUUGUUCUGACGUCCUUAUUCAGAAAACCUCUUAUUGAUUGAAAGUUUGUCUGACUAAAAAGUUGCCUGAAGAAAUCCUAAACUUUAUUCUAUAAAACAACUUCCUAAUGGGACGUCCAUGUUUUCUCUUUUAAUUCCUGAUCUUUUCUUUGUUCAGAAAUAUUUCCCUUUUGUAAGAUUUAUGUUUGAUUUUAUCUUGCAAAGUAACAUGCAUGCUG